rnacentral:tRNA from 2 species
GUUGUGGUCGUCUAGUCUGGUAGGACGGUAGGUUAAGGACCUACUCACCCCAUAGUGGCGCGGGUUCAAAUCCCGUCCACAACG